GGGGGCGACUGGUUUCGACAUGGUAGGUUUGAUCUGAGGAGCAGGUCGUGGUCUCCUCGCCACGUUAAACAGGGGUACUGUCAAGUUUAAUUGGCAAGACUAACACUGGCCGUAUGGCCCUCGCUGCUUAAUCUAGCGCAGCGCGUCAAUCCGGGUUUCUUCUCCUGGGCCCGGUGCGAUGUCAUUUCAGGGAGAUGCUUUCAGGCAUGUAGCCGGUAUGGCCUGAAAAAAGACUAAACCAGCUAGCGUAGGAUGUGUUCGUCGACGAGCGAGUCCUACGCGAAUCCCAGUCGUCGACUAAGCUUGUAGUGCCUUGGGGAUUAUCUAGUAUGGACCGGAGUUCGAUUCUCCGCGCCUCCACCA
rnacentral:tmRNA from 1 species